rnacentral:rRNA from 1 species
AUUGAACGCUGGCGGCAGGCCUAACACAUGCAAGUCGAGCGGAGCGGCGGACGGGUGAGUAAUGCCAAGGAAUCUGCCUGGUAGUGGGGGCUAACGUCAGGAAACGGGCGCUAAUACCGCAUACUAUCAGAUGAUCCUAGGUCGGAUUAGCUAUUUGGGGGGGUAAAGGCCUACAAAGGCGACGAUCCGUAACUGGUCUGAGAUGAUGAUCAGUCACACUGUAACUGAGACACGGGCCAGAAUCCUACGUGAGGCAGCAGUGGGGAAUAUUGGACAAUGGGCGAAAGCCUGAUCCAGCCAUGCCGCGUGUGUGAAGAAGGUCUUCGGAGUGUAAAGCACUUUAAGUUGGGAGGCGUUACCAACAGAAUAAGCACCGGCUAACUUCGUGCCAGCAGCCGCGGUAAGAC